UACGUAGGAGGCAAGCGUUGUCCGGAAUUACUGGGCGUAAAGCGCGUGUAGGUGGUGGGACAAGUUCUGCUGUGAAAGCGCCUGGCUUAACCGGGCGAGGUCGGCGGAAACUGUCCGACUCGAGGACGGUAGAGGGGGGUGGAAUUCCCGGUGUAGUGGUGAAAUGCGUAGAGAUCGGGAGGAACACCUGUGGCGAAGGCGGCCCCCUGGCCGGCCCUGACACUGAGACGCGAAGGCGUGGGGAGCGAACGGG
rnacentral:rRNA from 1 species